AGGGCUGAUGACGACAAUUGAUCAGUCACGCACUCGUCGUUCGCCGUUUCUCUCUCUCUCUCUCUCUCUCUCUUUCACUUUUCGCCAAAGAAUGCAGUCGUUCCUUCUCGCCUGCCUGCCUGACUGCCUGCAGUAAUUGCAAUCAGCGUUGCAUUCGCCGACGCGACUCUCUUGUUGCUGAGGGCUGCUGCUGCGGCGGCUCUCAGUCCACAGAUCGAAGAUCGCCUCCGUUGCAGCUCGGGCGCAGGAAGUGCACGACGAAGCUUCGGCGGCCGGAGAACAAGUUACGAGCUCUCUGCACUCGCGAUCGUUUCCCGUUCUGCGAUCGGCUGCAGUUCUUCUCUCCUCUCUUCAGCUCAGAGAUUUCAGCAGUGCGUUGCUCUCCCUCGUUUCGUGUGGAGCGUGUACCCCUUGGUUGGGCGGGGAGCCUUGGGGGCCUGCAGUUGGUCCAGAGCCGUGGCGAGCCGUUUCAAAAGCUUUCGAGCUGCACUUUCCCCGACUGCAUUCGAUCGCGAAUCGCGCGUUACGUAAAGCGUGCUCAGGAGCUUUGCUUAAAGCUUUAUAUGAUAUGGCGGAGGAGUAGGAGGAGGAGGCACAUUGACAUUAAAUUACAAUUUUGCGUUAAAUUGUGUUAAUUUUGAUUGGAAAUUUGAAUUUUGUUUUUGCAAUUUGCGGCCGUUUCUGCUGCUGACUGCGUUUUGGGGUGGUUGACUGAAGACUGGCACUGAUCCAAUCCCUGGUACAAUCCAAUCCGAAAGUUGAAUUGCAAAUGCAGUUUCUCGAAUGUAAGUGUGUGUUUUUUUGUGUGUGUGUGUGUGUGUAAACGCAGUCUCCACUUCUCUGUGUGUGUGUGUUUGCUCUCUCACUGAAUAGAUAAUUAUAUAACUUCGAUUGUUUUCUUGUACGAGUAUUUUGCUGUUUGAGCUUCACUUGAUGAUCAUAAUUUCCACUUGGCACGGAAUAGUAUUCAAUAUAAUAAGCACUUUUCUUUCGUUUUAGUCGUUUUUGUUUUCGUUUUCGUUGUCUUCAUUCAAUAUUCUCGUUUCUCGUUACUCGUUUCUCGUUUUGUUCAGGUUGUGUUUGCUUCACUUGUUAGAAAUUUAUAGAUUUUGUAUUUAAUUUUAAUGCAUUUCCAGACAUGUCGCUGCAUUUUCGCGUGCUUUUACAGUUUGACACGCUCGCCCAUAGAUACUUUAUCCGUCGGAUAUCAGUUGAUUACGUAUUAGUUAGGUAUUAUUAUCAAUCAAGUUUUAGCCUAUGACUGCGUAUUAGUAUUAUAUAUGUAUGUAUUUAUUAUAAUUAGAAGCGUUGUUUGCUUGUGAUCCUCUCACUGGUGCACUUAACCAUAUUAGAAUAAUAGAUUAUUGAAAAUUUACCGCUAUUACCGUUUUAUAAUUCAAGGCAGCAAAUAAAGAAAAAACUUAAACAAAAACUGGCAAAUGUUUGCUUAAAUCUUUAAACCACUUAUAACAAGGUUUCUUUUUUCUUUUUCUUUAUUUUUUUUUUUUGGGAUUUGUCGACUGUAAUUUCAAUUCGAUUCUAUUGUUGUUAGAUUUUGAUCUCUGGAUGACGUUUCGAUGGUAGGGAGGGGUUGAUAAAGUUGCUGGUUGCCGGCUCUAUUGCUGAUGUUAAUCCAAAAAGUGUGUGAAGACGUUGUAUGCGCGGACUCCGUGUUUUUAUACGUUAUUUUUUGCGUUGCCAAAAAGAUGUGAAAAUUUUUCCAAAAAAAUUUUAAACUGAAUUUUAACGUUGAAUUUUGUUUUCUGUUUUCUGUUUCUGUUUCUGCUGAUUGCCGGUUGAUUUAACCGUUGGUGUAAAAAGUUCCAGAUUUGUAAUUGCAAUAUUUUCGCAUGGUCGUUUGCGCGUCCGCGAUACUUGCGAGUGGAGUGGCGAUGCGAUACAGAUACAGAUACCCGGCUGGGUAGUCACUCAGCCUCGGCCUCGGUCGCAGUCUCAGUUCUCAGUCUCCGUCUCCGUCUCCGUCGUCGUCUCAGGCGGCUACAGCCACAAAAAAGCUUGCAGCUACACGCACACCAAUGCAGACGUUUGCUCUCCAGAGAGAGCGCGGAUAUCCAGAGAGCGAGAGAGAGAGAGGGAGAGCAAGAGCGAAGCGGCUUCCUUUUUGUUUUGUUUUUCGCAUUCGCAGCGGUAGGCAAUUGCAUUUGUAUUGCAACUUCUCUCUCACACACACGCACACAGGGAGAACGUCGCUCCCUCGUGCGAGCUUGCAUGUGUCUGUGCUUUUUGUAGUUCUUCGCCCCAGCAACCACCCAGCCACAGGCACAGCCACAGCCACAGCCACAGCUUUGCCGUUGCCUUUGCGAUUUCCUCUGCCUCUGCGAUGCCUUUCUUUGCCGGCUUGUAGCUCUCGCUCGCUCUCUCUCUCCCUCUCUUUGUGCCUCUCUCUUGGUUUUUUACACAUUUUUUUGUCAUUCCGAUUGACCCCUCCAGAGCAGAGCCGGGCGAUGCCCAAAGAGAUGCCAACAAAGUCGCGACCGCCGAUGCGUUUUCUCGCCCUCUCGCUCUCUAGCCCUCUCUAUUGCUCUCUGUCUGUGCGGCAGUGUGAGUCCGUGUGUGUGUGUGUGGCAUGUUUGAGGAACAUUUCAAUUAACUGCAAUUCUUCUGCUCCCAUAGCAUACCGCCGGGCAAUGGCAAUCCGUUUUUAUGAUCCACUCGCUUCACUCGACUCUGAUUGCCUCUCUUCUCUCUCUCUCUGCCCGUGCCCGUCCGUGCGUCCAAGUUUAAUUAACUCGGAGUCACGGACAAUGCCGAGCGAGCGACAAGUAAAGCGUAUCUAGAUGCCCCCGAUAAGAUCUGUUCUGUUCGGUUCUGUUCUGUUGCCAUCGGUCUUUUGUAGAUCCCCAUUUUGCCAACUCAAUAUGUGGGCCAACUAGCAGGGCAGAAAACGAAAGCCAAAACGAAGUGAAUGCUGGGAAAGAGGCUAAAACAGAGAGAGAGAGAGAGAGAACGAAUCGAGGACGAUGAGCGAGGAAACCGCUGAUGAAGACGAUGACCAUUUAGCAGCAGGAGCAUCAUCAAGGAAUCGGAGGCAUCAUCAAAAACGCGAUGGACCAACAUCAGGAGCAGCAGCGGCAUUUUGCCGAGGCUUACAUCUGACGGGGGACGUGGCCCCGAUGCGGCAGCGGUGCCGGUGCAGGGGCAGGGGCAAUGCCAAAGGGGAAUCACGGGCGCAUGGUCAUCAUCAAGGCGAUCGCUCUCUGCCAGCGUCGCUGUCGUGGUCUCAAAAUAAUAAGAUGACAUCCAACACUUCUUGCGCCGAGGCAGAGCCUCACAGGCAAGGGGCACCGCAGUCUCGGCAUUGGCCUGGACGGCCCUCCCCUAGCCUUACCCCCAUAUCUGUGUGCUGUUCCCCUUGCAACCCCCUGCCAAGUUGCCGCCGCCACCGCCGCCGCUGCCGCUGCUGCUGCUGCCAGUCGCAGUCCGUUCCAAAUAUUUUUAUAUAUAUAAAAAAAAAGAAUCCCAUUUUUUUCCUCGCAUAAUAAAA
rnacentral:sRNA from 1 species